rnacentral:SRP_RNA from 1 species
CGGGUAAGUCUUGUACGAUCUGCUCCCUUCUAACUCCCCCAGGGUAGGAAUACAGCAAGGGUACGUCGGUUGUAGCGAUGCGAUACAAGUAGCUUACCCU